rnacentral:lncRNA from 1 species
GGGAGCUCCGAGAUGCGCGCCCGUUUCUAAGGGCGGUGGGGGGCGGUACUCACCUGAGGGCGCCGACAGCGGGGCGCGGGUCCAGGCCUGGGCUCCGGGCGGGCGGCGGACGGCGGGCAGCGGCCGGGCCCGAGGUCGGGGCCGGGGCGAGCACGAGGCGGCGCGGCCCUCCUUUCCUCUCUCGCCCUUUAUUCUUUCUUUUGCUUUUUUGUUUGCUUCCUGCGAGGCGGCUGCAGCCGCGUGCGCGCAGCGCCCCAAGCGGGCGGCGCCGUUUCCGGUGCUCGGUCCGCUCGGCCGCGCCUCGGCCCGCAGCCCGCAGCCCUCAGAGCGCCCGCCCGCCCUCGGGUCCGCGCUCCGACCUCUCCAGCCCCAGCUGCGUGGCCCGCACGUGUCCUCCUGCGACAGCGCCCCGCCCGACAGCGCUCCGCCCGCCUGCCGCUUCCUGCUGCGCCCCUUCUGCCUCGCCCCGUUGCAGUCUGUGCCUUUGCCGUUGUUGGUCACAUCUGCCUGUUCCCCCCCCUCCCCACAGCCGGGUCGGCGGUGUCCCCAUCAGCACUCAGGGCGGCGCUCGAGCAACAGUGCCGCGGGCUUGGUCAGCCCGCUCAUUUUAGAGGUGAGAUUCACGGAAGGAGGCAGACGGAAGUGGA